UGGAUAAGGCGUCUGACUUCUAAUCAGAAGAUUGUCGGUUCGAUCCCGGCCGUGGGCU
rfam:Ancylostoma duodenale strain Zhejiang A_duodenale-1.0_Cont1633.3, whole genome shotgun sequence.